UACGAAGGGGACUAGCGUUGUUCGGAAUCACUGGGCGUAAAGCGCACGUAGGCGGAUGUGUCAGUCAGGGGUGAAAUCCCGGGGCUCAACCUCGGAACUGCCUUUGAUACAGCACGUCUCGAGUCCGGAAGAGGUGGGUGGAAUUCCUAGUGUAGAGGUGAAAUUCGUAGAUAUUCGGAAGAACACCAGUGGCGAAGGCGGCUCACUGGACUGGUAUUGACGCUGAGGUGCGAAAGCGUGGGGAGCAAACAGG
rnacentral:rRNA from 1 species